AAAGACUUUCAAUGACAAAUUCUUGUGGCUACCAACCUAUUCGGCCAAGGCAUGGACAUCAAGUGAGUGAACAUUGCCUUUAGCUCCAACAUUCCUGAGGAUUCCGACACCUACCUGCAUCGGGUGGCCAGAGCAGGCCGUUUAGGCACCAAUGUCAUCCACCACGUUUAUAUCAGAUGAGAAUGAUGCCAAGAUCCUCAAUGAUGUGCAAGAUCACUUUGAGGUCCAUAUUAGUGAGCUGCCUGAUGAGACAGACAUCUCCUCCUACAUUGAACAGACA